AUUUAUAUAGUAUAUUAAUUAUAAUUAGCUUCCAACUAAUAGAACUAAAAAAUUUAGUAUAAAUA
rnacentral:tRNA from 1 species